AUGGGCCUGCGGACUCCUGCUCACUUCCUGGGGCACCUGCUGCUCUGGCUACCAGGGGUGAGAUGUGACAUCCAGAUGAUCCAGACACCAUCCUCCCUGUCUGCAUCUCUGGGAGACAGGGUCACCGUCAAUUGUCGGGCGAGUGAAAACAUUUAUAAUGCUUUAUCCUGGUACCAGCAAAAACCAGGGGCUGCUCCUAAGCUCCUCAUCUACAGUACAUCCAGCUUGGCAGGUGGGGUUCCAUCGAGGUUCAGUGGCAGUGGAUCUGGGACACAGUAUUCUCUUACCAUCAGCAGCCUGAAGUCUGAGGAUGCUGCAAUUUAUUACUGUCAGCAGAGGAAAAAGUUCCCUCUCACAGUGACACAAGUCAUGACAUAA